rnacentral:misc_RNA from 1 species
GUGAAUCAUCGAAUUUUUGAACGCAAAUUGCACUCCCUGGUAUUCCGGGGAGUAUGCCUGUUUGAGGGUCAUUAGAAGAAACAUGGAAGUAUCGCUCUUUUUUUUGAGGGUGAUCGGGUCGGAAUUGAGCCGUUUUUCAAAUGUUAGUUCAUGUCAAGGUGGCUUAAAAUUCAUCUAUCCGGUACGAUUAAUGGGUAUUUAACAUCAAUUCUGAUUA